GACGAACGCUGGCGGCGUGCUUAACACAUGCAAGUCGAACGAGUGGUGAACGGGUGAGUAACACGUGGGUGACCUGCCCUGCACUUCGGGAUAAGCCUGGGAAACUGGGUCUAAUACCGGAUAGUGUGGGAUGGGCCCGCGGCCUAUCAGCUUGUUGGUGGGGUAAUGGCUACCAAGGCGCGAUCCCUAGCUGGUCUGAGAGGAUGACCAGCCACACUGGAACUGAGACACGGUCCAGACUCCUACGGGAGGCAGCAGUGGGGAAUAUUGCACAAUGGGCGCAAGCCUGAUGCAGCCAUGCCGCGUGUAUGAAGAAGGCCUUCGGGUUGUAAAGUACUUUCAGCGAGGAGGCGUUACUCGCAGAAGAAGCACCGGCUAACUCCGUGCCAGCAGCCGCGGUAAUAC
rnacentral:rRNA from 1 species